GUUACCACCAAAAUGACGGCUGCCUUUAGAAAUGCUAAUGGGAAACAGUUGACUAUCAAGUUUUUCAUGGGCUCAGAAUUUCCAGAACUUUGAAGAAUGAAGAGAAGUAACAAUGUAUACAGGUAAAAGUUAAUGAUUUUUUAUGUUUACAUUGACAUAGACUAUUUUGAAAUUUGAGCAAACAUUUUAGAAUGUACUUCUAAGUUGG
rnacentral:lncRNA from 1 species